GUUGUGUUUCUGUGUGAUGAUGAUGAUAAAGUUGUGUUUCUGUGUGAUGAUGAUGAUAAAGUUGUGUUUCUGUGUGAUGAUAAUAAUAAAGUUGUGUUUCUGUGUGAUGAUGAUAAUAAAGUUGUGUUUCUGUGUGAUGAUGAUAAAAUUGUGUUUCUGUGUGAUGAUGAUAAUAAAGUUGUGUUUCUGUGUGAUGAUGAUGAUAAAGUUGUAAUAAAGUGAU